CCUACGGGGGGCAGCAGUGGGGAAUAUUGCACAAUGGGGGAAACCCUGAUGCAGCGACGCCGCGUGAGUGAAGAAGGAUUUCGGUAUGUAAAGCUCUAUCAGCAGGGAAGAAAAUGACGGUACCUGACUAAGAAGCCCCGGCUAACUACGUGCCAGCAGCCGCGGUAAUACGUAGGGGGCAAGCGUUAUCCGGAUUUACUGGGGGUAAAGGGAGCGUAGAAGGUGAUGCAAGUCAGAAGUGAAAGCCCGGGGCUCAACUCCGAGACUGCUUUUGAAACUGUGUGACUUGAGUGCAGGAGAGGUAAGCGGAAUUCCUGGUGUAGCGGUGAAAUGCGUAGAUAUCAGGAGGAACACCAGUGGCGAAGGCGGCUUACUGGACUGUAACUGACGUUGAGGCUCGAAAGCGUGGGGAGCAAACAGGAUUAGAUACACGUGUAGUC
rnacentral:rRNA from 1 species